rnacentral:tRNA from 1 species
AGAAACUUAGGAUAAUAUAAAACAAAGGCCUUCAAAGCCUUAAACAAGAAUUAAAACCUCUUAGUUUCUG